UCCUUGCUCAGUGGUUAGAGCACCUGCCUCGCAUGCAAAAGGUCCCACGUUCGAUUUGUGGGAUGUGAA